GGGUUGUGAGGUUAAGCGACUAAGCGUACACGGUGGAUGCCCUGGCAGUCAGAGGCGAUGAAGGGCGUGCUAAUCUGCGAUAAGCGCCGGUAAGGUGAUAUGAACCGUUAUAACCGGCGAUACCCGAAUGGGGAAACCCAGUGUGACUCGUCACACUAUCAUUAACUGAAUCCAUAGGUUAAUGAGGCGAACCGGGGGAACUGAAACAUCUAAGUACCCCGAGGAAAAGAAAUCAACCGAGAUUCCCCCAGUAGCGGCGAGCGAACGGGGAGGAGCCCAGAGCCUGAAUCAGCAUGUGUGUUAGUGGAAGCGUCUGGAAAGGCGCGCGAUACAGGGUGACAGCCCCGUACACAAAAGCGCAUGUGCUGUGAGCUCGAUGAGUAGGGCGGGACACGUGGUAUCCUGUCUGAAUAUGGGGGGACCAUCCUCCAAGGCUAAAUACUCCUGACUGACCGAUAGUGAACCAGUACCGUGAGGGAAAGGCGAAAAGAACCCCGGCGAGGGGAGUGAAAAAGAACCUGAAACCGUGUACGUACAAGCAGUGGGAGCACAGGUUUACCUGUGUGACUGCGUACCUUUUGUAUAAUGGGUCAGCGACUUAUAUUCUGUAGCAAGGUUAACCGAAUAGGGGAGCCGGAGGGAAACCGAGUCUUAAUUGGGCGUUAAGUUGCAGGGUAUAGACCCGAAACCCGGUGAUCUAGCCAUGGGCAGGUUGAAGGUUGGGUAACACUAACUGGAGGACCGAACCGACUAAUGUUGAAAAAUUAGCGGAUGACCUGUGGCUGGGGGUGAAAGGCCAAUCAAACCGGGAGAUAGCUGGUUCUCCCCGAAAGCUAUUUAGGUAGCGCCUCGUGAAUUCAUCUCCGGGGGUAGAGCACUGUUUCGGCUAGGGGGCCAUCCCGGCUUACCAACCCGAUGCAAACUGCGAAUACCGGAGAAUGUUAUCACGGGAGACACACGGCGGGUGCUAACGUCCGUCGUGAAGAGGGAAACAACCCAGACCGCCAGCUAAGGUCCCAAAGUCAUGGUUAAGUGGGAAACGAUGUGGGAAGGCCCAGACAGCCAGGAUGUUGGCUUAGAAGCAGCCAUCAUUUAAAGAAAGCGUAAUAGCUCACUGGUCGAGUCGGCCUGCGCGGAAGAUGUAACGGGGCUAAACCAUGCACCGAAGCUGCGGCAGCGACACUGUGUGUUGUUGGGUAGGGGAGCGUUCUGUAAGCCUGUGAAGGUGGCCUGUGAGGGUUGCUGGAGGUAUCAGAAGUGCGAAUGCUGACAUAAGUAACGAUAAAGCGGGUGAAAAGCCCGCUCGCCGGAAGACCAAGGGUUCCUGUCCAACGUUAAUCGGGGCAGGGUGAGUCGACCCCUAAGGCGAGGCCGAAAGGCGUAGUCGAUGGGAAACAGGUUAAUAUUCCUGUACUUGGUGUUACUGCGAAGGGGGGACGGAGAAGGCUAUGUUGGCCGGGCGACGGUUGUCCCGGUUUAAGCGUGUAGGUGUGUGUUCCAGGUAAAUCCGGUUCACUUUAACACUGAGGCGUGAUGACGAGGCACUACGGUGCUGAAGCAACAAAUGCCCUGCUUCCAGGAAAAGCCUCUAAGCAUCAGGUAACAUCAAAUCGUACCCCAAACCGACACAGGUGGUCAGGUAGAGAAUACCAAGGCGCUUGAGAGAACUCGGGUGAAGGAACUAGGCAAAAUGGUGCCGUAACUUCGGGAGAAGGCACGCUGACACGUAGGUGAAGUGAUUUACUCAUGGAGCUGAAGUCAGUCGAAGAUACCAGCUGGCUGCAACUGUUUAUUAAAAACACAGCACUGUGCAAACACGAAAGUGGACGUAUACGGUGUGACGCCUGCCCGGUGCCGGAAGGUUAAUUGAUGGGGUCAGCGCAAGCGAAGCUCCUGAUCGAAGCCCCGGUAAACGGCGGCCGUAACUAUAACGGUCCUAAGGUAGCGAAAUUCCUUGUCGGGUAAGUUCCGACCUGCACGAAUGGCGUAAUGAUGGCCAGGCUGUCUCCACCCGAGACUCAGUGAAAUUGAACUCGCUGUGAAGAUGCAGUGUACCCGCGGCAAGACGGAAAGACCCCGUGAACCUUUACUAUAGCUUGACACUGAACAUUGAGCCUUGAUGUGUAGGAUAGGUGGGAGGCUUUGAAGCGUGGACGCCAGUCUGCGUGGAGCCGACCUUGAAAUACCACCCUUUAAUGUUUGAUGUUCUAACGUGGACCCGUAAUCCGGGUUGCGGACAGUGUCUGGUGGGUAGUUUGACUGGGGCGGUCUCCUCCUAAAGAGUAACGGAGGAGCACGAAGGUUGGCUAAUCCUGGUCGGACAUCAGGAGGUUAGUGCAAUGGCAUAAGCCAGCUUGACUGCGAGCGUGACGGCGCGAGCAGGUGCGAAAGCAGGUCAUAGUGAUCCGGUGGUUCUGAAUGGAAGGGCCAUCGCUCAACGGAUAAAAGGUACUCCGGGGAUAACAGGCUGAUACCGCCCAAGAGUUCAUAUCGACGGCGGUGUUUGGCACCUCGAUGUCGGCUCAUCACAUCCUGGGGCUGAAGUAGGUCCCAAGGGUAUGGCUGUUCGCCAUUUAAAGUGGUACGCGAGCUGGGUUUAGAACGUCGUGAGACAGUUCGGUCCCUAUCUGCCGUGGGCGCUGGAGAACUGAGGGGGGCUGCUCCUAGUACGAGAGGACCGGAGUGGACGCAUCACUGGUGUUCGGGUUGUCAUGCCAAUGGCACUGCCCGGUAGCUAAAUGCGGAAGAGAUAAGUGCUGAAAGCAUCUAAGCACGAAACUUGCCCCGAGAUGAGUUCUCCCUGAGACUUAGAGUCUCCUGAAGGAACGUUGAAGACGACGACGUUGAUAGGCCGGGUGUGUAAGCGCAGCGAUGCGUUGAGCUAACCGGUACUAAUGAACCGUGAGGCUUAACCUUACAACGCCGAAG
rnacentral:rRNA from 2 species